rnacentral:ncRNA from 1 species
UAACGUCCUUCGGGGUUAGGUGCAAUUCCUUACCGGCGGUAAAAGCCCGCGAGCCGCAAAGGCAGACCCGGUGCAAUUCCGGGGCCGACAGUGACAGUCUGGAAGGGAGAAGGCGUUU